rnacentral:rRNA from 1 species
UGAGGAAUAUUGGUCAAUGGGCGCGAGCCUGAACCAGCCAAGUCGCGUGAAGGAAGACGGUCUUAUGGAUUGUAAACUUCUUUUGACAGGGAGUAAAAUGAGGUAUGUAUACCUUAUUGCAAGUACCUGCAGAAUAAGCAUCGGCUAACUCCGUGCCAGCAGCCGCGGUAAUACGGAGGAUGCGAGCGUUAUCCGGAUUUAUUGGGUUUAAAGGGUGCGUAGGCGGGAUAUUAAGUCAGUGGUGAAAGUUUUCGGCUCAACCGGAGAAUUGCCAUUGAAACUGGUGUUCUUGAGUGUAAGUGAGGUUCGCGGAAUGCGUGGUGUAGCGGUGAAAUGCAUAGAUAUCACGCAGAACUCCGAUUGCGAAGGCAGCGAGCUGGUAUACAACUGACGCUGAUGCACGAAAGCGUGGGGAUCAAACA